rnacentral:rRNA from 1 species
CCUACGGGAGGCAGCAGUGAGGAAUAUUGGUCACUGGACGAGAGUCUGAACCAGCCAAGUAGCGUGAAGGAUGACUGCCCUAUGGGUUGUAAACUUCUUUUAUAUGGGAAUAAAAUGUUCCACGUGUGGGAUUUUGUAUGUACCAUAUGAAUAAGGAUCGGCUAACUCCGUGCCAGCAGCCGCGGUAAUACGGAGGAUCCGAGCGUUAUCCGGAUUUAUUGGGUUUAAAGGGAGCGUAGGUGGAUUGUUAAGUCAGUUGUGACAGUUUGCGGCUCAACCGUAAAAUUGCAGUUGAAACUGGCAGUCUUGAGUACAGUAGAGGUGGGCGGAAUUCGUGGUGUAGCGGUGAAAUGCUUAGAUAUCACGAAGAACUCCGAUUGCGAAGGCAGCUCACUGGACAGCAACUGACACUGAGGCUCGAAAGUGUGGGUAUCGAACAGGAUUAGAUACCCUGGUAGUC